CUCGGAGCGCAGGGAGGCCACUGCCGGGCCGCACGUGGAGGGAGCCUACCACGCAUGCGCGCUCCCGCCACGCUUCCCUUCGCCGCUUGGGGAACGGGCCUCCUGCGGGUCCUAAUUUCAUCCUGAAGGCAGCUCCGGCUUCUGUCUGAAGAUCUCCGAUGGGUAGAAAGGGUGGCCGACUUUCUCCGGUCAUCUCACAAGCUGGAGUUUGCCUCGGGGAGAGUUAAUAGUUGGCUUGUGGUAAGCGCUCAAAUUGUUGUCAAGUCCUACGUGAAGCAGGGCCGGGAUCAGGAUGAAUCAUGCAAGUGCUGAGUGGAUCCUGUCUUUAGGAAACCAGAAGACCCAAGGGGAAAGUGGUAAAUCUGGGAGACACAGGCUUGCAUUGGGCCAUGUGCUCAGUGACGAUGACCGCUGAAUGACUGCUGAAUGAACGCGUCUUGCUGUAUUCUUGAGUCGCUUAGGUCACUAAAAGGGGCAUUCAUCAGCUGUUCCUGGGAAGGCAGAACAGAAUGGCCUUCAUGAGCAGAACAUUACAGGGGAGACGGAUACUCUUCAAAUUAAAAUUCUCUGAUGUAUUUGAUAACCUUUGGCCAGCUUAAAUUCUUAACUGUCUUUAAUGGUUUUUCUACACCUCCCUUUUAGAGCAAUAAGGUGAGAAAUUAUCAAUAUAAAAUUACUCUGAAAUUUAGCACAUGC